GACUUUUAUGAGUUUUGCUAAGAUCUGUGUGGGUCAUUGGCUUGGAAGAAAAGGUUUAAUCAGUUAGUGCUUCACCUGUGUACAAAGGAAAGUUGAUGGACCAUAAACCAUUCACAGGGUAGGACUUCUAGAUGAAUAAAGAUAUGGUGUAUUUUCCAGGACUAAAUUAUCUUUGAGCUGUGAUCAAGCAUGAGAAAUUUCCACCCUGAGGAAAAAUAUUUGAAGGUUGCAAAAUGAAUUCCUAGAUUUACGUUUCAGAAUCAAUGAUCCUUUGUUUCAUAUUGGCUGACCUAUUCACCAGGCUGGAUUUGGUAGCCUAUGACUAUGAUAGUAAAAAAGACACUUGAGGGAAGCUGUGAAAAAUUUGGUAUGAUCAAAUAUACCAAGAAAAUGAAGAGCAUUGAGCAAAAGUCACAUGGAAGGAAAACAUGAGGAAUAUCACUGUAUAUGAAGGUAAAUACUGCUUAUAAAAAAUCUGAAGAGCCAUAUAAAAGCCACCUCUGUGGAGCUUCCUGCAAGAGCAGGUUGGAGAAAUAAUGGUCACAUCAAGCCUAUCAGAGGGUGGCUGUAUUUUGUGCUGGAAAAACAACACUUCCAUAAGAACAGCAAAUUGGUAUCACUGAGUGAGAAAAGUUGGAAGACUGCAGCAUCAUAAAAUGUCAAAGGGUUCAAGCAAACGAAUUUUCAAAAAAUAAGUCUUCUGUUAUGCAUAAUGUUGGUCAGAACUCUUAGUUACAAAGACAGAAAUCAAUUUGUAACAACUUAACCAAUAAUAAGUAAUGGAUUGGACAUAUAUUGUGGUAGCACAGAGAACUGAAAGAAAAGCUAAACCACCAAACCUCAGACAAGACAGCUCCAGCGUCAGACCAGUUCAAACCAGGCAACAAAUGCCUGUAAGAUUCUAUCACUGGCUUCUAUUUCUUCCUGUAAGUCAUCUUUAUUAUCUUAACCAUAGAUGGACUUCUUCACGAGAUGGGGGUGGAAACAGCCAUCUGCAUCUCUGUCCUCAAACACUCUCACCUCUGAAGCUAGAGAAAGGGGACUACCUCUGCUGUUUAAAAAAAUCCUUUCAAAAGAUUCUGCCUUUCAAAAAAGGGCCAAUUUGGGGUACUUGCCAACAUGAACCACUAUGGCUGGGGGAAUAAAAUAUCAUUUUUGACCCUGCUCGGGUCUCUGCUCUGUCUCCAAUGCCUUAUAAUGGACAAUUCUCAACAAGUAUUUAUGGAAUUAAUAUCCCAAAGACAACUUUAUUAAAAUAGGAACACUGAAAAAAAGCCCAAGUACUUAAAAAAAUCCUGUGUCUGUUAUCUGCAAUUAUGACUGUAAUUUUACAACAUGAUGUAUGUGUUCUCUGCAGUUACAAUAUUUUAAAAUGUAAUUCUGACAAGAUUAUUUCUACAUAAUCAUCAAAUCCACCAUUUAAUCAACCUGUUGUUUGUUAUUUAAGAUUAAUUAAAAGGCAGAUGACUGCAUGCCCAGUUUAUUGAGUGUGUGAUAAAGUCAGCUCCUCAACUGGUUUAAAGCACUGAAUAAACUUUUUUUUUUGAAAAGUAA